AGUGAACGCUGGCGGUAGGCCUAACACAUGCAAGUCGAACGGCAGCACAGUAAGAGCUUGCUCUUACGGGUGGCGAGUGGCGGACGGGUGAGGAAUACAUCGGAAUCUACUUUUUCGUGGGGGAUAACGUAGGGAAACUUACGCUAAUACCGCAUACGACCUACGGGUGAAAGCAGGGGAUCUUCGGACCUUGCGCGAUUGAAUGAGCCGAUGUCGGAUUAGCUAGUUGGCGGGGUAAAGGCCCACCAAGGCGACGAUCCGUAGCUGGUCUGAGAGGAUGAUCAGCCACACUGGAACUGAGACACGGUCCAGACUCCUACGGGAGGCAGCAGUGGGGAAUAUUGGACAAUGGGGGCAAGCCUGAUCCAGCCAUACCGCGUGGGUGAAGAAGGCCUUCGGGUUGUAAAGCCCUUUUGUUGGGAAAGAAAAGCAGCAGGUUAAUAACCCGCUGUUCUGACGGUACCCAAAGAAUAAGCACCGGCUAACUUCGUG
rnacentral:rRNA from 1 species